rnacentral:misc_RNA from 1 species
CUCUUUUUUUUAUAUUUUUUUUUCCAUAAACUAACUCAGCUAAGCAUCUAUCACAAAUAUUUUCUUCCAGUAAACAUUGUUCUUAAUGUAUCAUUUGAAAGCAUGCAACAACAAGGUUUUAGGAAAAAAAUAUUUAUCCAUCCUCCAUUUUCUUGAAUUUCCUUCUCUCCCAAAGAGGCACAGAUGCAUGGACACAUACACACACAGAUGCACAUGCAUAUACUUGAAGAUCAAAGAUGCAUAGAUCGUAGGCCCGAGAUGCAAGAUGGCUAAAACACAUUUAAAGACAAAUCAAUAAAUAUGCAGCAGCAGGGAUCAAUAAAAAAG